UCCUGCUGUCCAUCGAUAUAGCCUUAAAAUUAAUCUUGCUCACAUAAUACUAGGUAAAUUGAAACGGAGAAGCACUUUGGGGAAAAUUCUCAAAGCACAAACACAAGGUUAUUUACUCGUUCAUAGCGAAAAUGAAGAGUUCAAAUUUCUGCUACUCAGAUGGAAUCCAAGGAAGAUGGAGCCUUCCAUGUACAAUGGGAUCUGAAAAACCCCACAAACCAUUCUCAAUGAAAAAUUCAGUCUUGAUGACAAUUCCUGUGUUGCCAGCAGAACUCAUCACUGAAAUCCUCUCAGGGUACCAGUGAAAUCGCUCUUGAAAUUCAGGUCUGUUUCGAAAGCUUGGCUUGCUUUGAUCUCUAGCACUGAAUUUAUCAACACCCAUCUCAGCUUAUCCACUAAUAGCAACAAGGAUUACACCCAUCAUUUGCUUACUAUGAAUUUUCGUGCAGCUAUGAAUGGUCUUUAUGAGUAUACACUUACAGAUUUUACUCUUAGUUCCUUACUUUAUGAGUCUGUAACUGAGGCAUUUGACUUGGAUUACCCCUACAAGAAAUUGCACAAAUAUUUUUCGAUGGUAGGUUCUGUCAAUGGAUUGAUUUGUCUUGCCAUUGAGGAAUAUGACUUGGUUCUGUGGAAUCCAUCAAUCAGGAAGUACAAAAAAUUGCCAGAUUCUAAACCUACAUUAAUGAAGAAAGAUUGCUGGCCUUUAUAUGGUUUUGGAUAUGAUGAAGUAUGAUUAUAAGGUAGUCGCUAUUUUUUUGAAAUAUAGGAGUCGGGAUCAAGUUGAGGUUAAAAUAUAUAGUUUAAAUAGUGAUUCUUGGAAAUGUGUCGAUGAAUGUCCUAAUAAGAAGCUAUUAAAUAUAUCGGGCAAGUUUGUGAAUGGAAAACUUUUUUGGAUUACUCAUGGCCCUGAUUUGUUUAAUAUGCAUAAAGACGGGAACAUUAUUUCAAUUGAUUUGGCUGAUGAGAAAUGGGGAAAGGUGGAGCAGCCCUCCUAUGGAAUAGGACAUUUUUUUUGAGACUUGGAGUGUUUGGAAGUGAUUUUUCUAUAUUUUGUGAUAAUAUGGUUAGUCAGGUAGAUGUUUGGGUUAUGAAGGUGUAUGGAGUUAAAGAAUCUUGGACAAAAAUGUUAACUAUCGAGUAUCCCGGUGAUCCUUUUGUGUAUUAUAAUUAUAUCCUGUUUCCACCCUCUUUCAUAUCAAAUAAAGGUGAAAUUUUGGUUUGUUUUGUAUCUAGUAAAGUCAUGACUUAUUCUACUUCACUUGAUCAAAGAAUUAACAUCAUGACAUACAAUCCAAAGGAUGACUCUUUCAGAUAUUCCAAGGUUAUUAACUUUAACUUUGACAGUUGGCGUUCAGCGGAAAUCUACGUUGAAAGCCUAGUUUGUCCUUUAUCUGCAGAAGGGAGAAAGAAUGCUACAAAAAGGAAGGCUAGAAAAACUCAGGUAUUUCAAAUGUAAGGGCUGGUAGGGUGAUGGGCGUGGGGAUGAAGAUGAGAUGUGUUGGAGGAUUUUGAGGACACAAUCAAUGUGGAAUGACACUUCAAACUUGUAUUCUCUACUUCCACUAUAGAAGUCAUUUUCAGGGAACAUUUUCUGGAAACGUGGAUUGUCAUAAGUUGUACUUGUGGCUUAUUGUUAUCAUGUCCCAAAUGCAGUUGGUAGGGAAGCAAAACUUGUCUAUUUUCUACUGGAGUAUGCUAAUAGGCCCAGUCAUUUCCAUUUUUCUUGUAAUAUGAGAUACCGCUUAAGAAAUCCCGAAAUGCACCAUCAAAUUUACUUGCUUUUAUUGUUUAUCAUUUUUCUGUAAAGUCAAUCGAUGAUGAGGUUCUUGAUCUUCCAGAAUGAAGAAAGUAGCUAUUCUUGGUGACCCCUAAUUAACUUGCCUCGCAAUGCCAAGGAGAAACCAGAAUGUAAUAUAAACAGAGCAAGCAAAUAAAAGUCCUCUUUGCAAUGGAAACUGGCAUCAUGUGAGACUCACAACAUUUUCCGGGUAUAGGAAUUGAUAUUUUGGAUAUGGUGAAUGAUAGCUGCAUUGGCCAUUCUACUUCUCCUACGAGUUAUUACACAGUAACUUGAAUCACCAUUGCAUCCUUUUGAAUGGAAAGUUAUCAUUUGCCAAAACAGGAACAGAGGAGCUUGAUGUAGCUACUCUGCUAAAAGGGCACAUACCUUCUAUUACGGCAUGAUUCAUAAAUAUGCUCUUUACCUUGACCUCAUUUCAUUUUUAUGUCCUUUUUAACUUUGGGUGUGCACAAAUUAACACUUAAGCUUAUGUAAAUUUAAACAAGUUGACAUAUGAGUCCUAUGUGUCUUAAUACACGUUACAUGUAGGACAUCAUGUAGGACACAAAUUGUCAUUCAGGAUAUCUUUGACACGGAUUGAUGAAUACUGCCUGUGACUUUAGUCUCAAUCUUAAUUUCCUCUUGUAUUAACGAUAUACUGCAUAUUAACUUGAAGUUGCACCAUCCUGCCAUCAGAGUAGUUAACUAUCCUUUUAUACUUAUUACUAUUGUCCACAACAUUGAAGUUGAAUGGAAUCACCUUAAACAUGCAUGCCUCAAGUAUAGUUGGUAAGGGAAUCAGUAUGAAGCUCAUCUUUUGUACUUUAAAAAGGCAGGAAAUUUCUGAUGAAAAAAAGAAAACGAUUUUGCCGCGUUUUAAAUGUAGACCGUGCAUAGGAAUGGCACUUCAUGCUGUUCCUUCUUCGUAUAAGCUGUUUUAUUAUGUCAUGUAAUGUAUCAAUGUGAAGUUCUUUAUUAACUGUUGUGAGAUUUCAGGAAGUGAAAGUUGCUCACUGCCUACUGCUUGAAUCAAAACAGUGAAGAAUGGCCUUUCCGAGCUCUGAAUGUUCGUCAAAGGAACUCCGUUGUAGCUUGAACGGGUCAUGAACAAGGUCAAAAAAAUCUUCUCCUUCCCCUGUAUUACUUUUGUAUUUUGAGAUUGGUCAGAACUACAAUAUGAAUCUUCCCAGAAAUAGAAUUGACUACCAAUUCUGAAGGAACUGAAGUUACAUCUCUUUUCCAUUCAACAAUUCUUUUGCAUUUCCACGCCCCUUUAAGACCCCGAUAAAUGGACAAAUUCCUUUUCUUAAGGAAGACAUACGUACUUACAAGAUUUGUCACUACAAAA